rnacentral:ncRNA from 2 species
AAUACCGACGGGAAUGAAGUACUCCCCUAGCUCUGCUAAAACCGCCGAAGGCUGAUGACUUCUACGAUCUU